UAACACGUGGGGAACCUGCCCCAUAGUCUGGGAUACCACUUGGAAACAGGUGCUAAUACCGGAUAAGAAAGCGGAUCGCAUGAUCAGCUUUUAAAAGGCGGCGUAAGCUGUGCUAUGGGAUGGCCCCGCGGUGCAUUAGCUAGUUGGUAAGGUAAAGGCUUACCAAGGCGAUGAUGCAUAGCCGAGUUGAGAGACUGAUCGGCCACAUUGGGACUGAGACACGGCCCAAACUCCUACGGGAGGCAGCAGCC
rnacentral:rRNA from 1 species